GGAGGUGUAGUCCUAAUCGGUAAGGCAGCGGUCUUGAAAACCGCCGGGUUAACGCCCUUGGGGGUUCGAGUCCCUUCACCUCCG
rnacentral:tRNA from 1 species